UAAGCCCAACACCCCAAGCCCCCUAGUUCCCUAAUCCUUAGCGCUUAAGCAGACUUAUAACUUACGGGCAGUACCUGCUUACCCUUUUUCCCUUUUCUAUUUUUCUAACCCUAGGCUUCUCUAAAAAAUUGCAACAUUGCUUGGUUGGUGCUGAUUCAUGACUACAAUAGCAAAGGGCAACGGCGACUUCACGACCUCGGUGAGCGGCGACUCCUUUGCUUGUAACAGCAUUGUUCAAGCUUCUCAAGAGCUGUACUGUUCAAGCUUCGAGGACUUCCCCUCAUACAUUAUGGAGGAUGGAGGAGUCACUUGGGAAUUCGACAAACUUCCUUCGUUUGCUCCAUAAUUUUCCAUUUUCUCUUUUCAGUUAUCACGGCAAGUAGUUCACAUUGGUCUCUAUAGUUCAAAAUUCUAUAUACAGGAUAAUACAUAAUUUAUUUUCUAGCUAUACAUUUGAGGAGAAGUGACUACAUUGAUGUAGUUAAUUAAUUAUAGUUAUAUUGAAAGACUUUGGUAUGAUACAGAAAGCGUACCAAACCAAAUAAGAAAAAACCGAACCGAAUCAAACUACUUUGGUACGGUAUUUGGUAUGCACAAUUAAUAUACCGAAUACCGAAGUACCAAAUCAUAGUUAUUAAAUACCGAAGUACCGAGCGCCUACCCCUAUUUGACAUGUAGGCAUAGAGAUAUAUUUUUCUCAUGCUAGAUAGUAACUGAAACGUCUUAUUAGUUAUUGAAAGUUUGGAAAGUUUGGAAAGUUACGUUUUCCUUGAUAAGAUCAUAUUUUACUGAUUUCGGAGAAAGAUUGGGCUUUGACUGUUAUACUUAAAAAGCAUGUCUAAUUUUUCGAAAUUGUGAACGAGCUGAACAUGAUAUCUUUGAGCUAUUUACUUUUACUGUCAUUAUUAUUUUAUGUGCUUUUUAUUGAUUAUUAUUGUUGGACAUUGAUUUUCUUUCGAGUUCGUUGAUGCUUUCAACCCAAGGCUAGGUUUGUUACUUAUUGAGUACAUGGGGUCGGUUGUACUCAUACUACACUAUGCACUUUAU